rnacentral:misc_RNA from 1 species
AAGUGCACUUCAUUACAUUUUUUUAUCACUCAAAUAAGUUUCUGGUUGUACAAAGAACUGAACACUCCUCUCCAAACUUUAUAUUACAAUUUUUACACAACAGGAGGAGAUCUUAUUCAAGGAAAAUGCUUGCAACUCUACCAUAUAGAUGAAGAAAUUUUCAUCUUGGCUUCACUUCAUCAACAGUUCCUCUCCUCAUCAUCGCGACAAACUCAUCAUAGUUAAUCAGCCCAUCUUUGUUUGUGUCAACAUCAUCUAGGAUUUCAUCUAUUGUAGCUUCAUCCCCCAUUCCAUAUUCUUCCAUCGCGUGUCUAAGUUCAUCUCUUGUGAUAAAUCCGCUACUAUCUUUGUCAAAAAACUGGAAAGCCUUGUACAAAUUCUCUUCUCUUUCGAGUUUGUGUCGAUGCAUAGUAGCAGUAAUGAACUCGAUGUAGUCUAUCGUCCCACUGUUAUCAACAUCCGCUGCAUCCAUCAAUUGCUUUAUUUCAGAUUCAGUAAGCUUUGAUCCUAGCCUAGAUAGCCCUGUUUUCAGUUCUUCGUAUGUGAUUGUACCGCUCCCAUCAGUAUCCAUGUUAUUAAACAUCUGCUUCAGUCCCUUGAUUUCAUCUUCUGAUAAGUUCUCCGCGAUAACCUUAAGAGCUAGUUUCUUCAUCUUAUUCAUAGCUCUAAAUUGCUUCAGCCUUGAUAAAACAGCACUAUCAAUAGGCUUGUCUGAUG